rnacentral:ncRNA from 1 species
UUCUUCGGGGCAGGGUGCAAUUCCCUACCGGCGGUAAAGUCCGCGACCCGCGAAAGCGGCUGAUUUGGUGAGAUUCCAAAACCGACAGUACAGUCUGGAUGAGAGAAGAA